rnacentral:rRNA from 1 species
AUUGAACUCUGGCGGCAGGCCUAACACAUGCUAGUCGAGCGAGCGGCGGACGGGUGAGUAAUGUCUGGGACACUGCCUGAUGGAGGGGGAUAACUACGGGAAAAGGUAGCUAAUACCGCAUACCAUCAGAUGUGCCCAGUUGUGAUUAGCAUGUAGGUGGGGUAACGGCUGACCUAGGCGUCGAUCCCUAGCGGGUCUGAGAGGAUGACCAGACGCACUUGAGCUGAGCCACGGUCCAGACUCCUACGGGGGGCAGCAGUGGGGAAUAUGGCACAAUGGGCGCAAUCCUGAUGCAGCCAUGCCGCGUGUGUGAAGAAGGCCUUCGGGUUGGAAAGCACUUUCAGCGGGGAGGCGUUACCCGCAGAAGAAACACCGGCUAACUCCGUGCCAGCCGCCGCGGUAAUUC